GGGGGGGUGUACUGAAACGUUCCUGGCUUUGGUUAAUAGAAAAUACAGGAGGAUCAGUUCAUUAUGAUUUUAUUCAACAUAUUCCUCUUUCAUAUUCACAUGCUUAUUGCAGUGGUUCUUCAGUUUUUCUAAGCCUUGUGGAAAAACAUAUCGGA